GAACUCAGUGACAGCAUGAAUAAAGCUGGAGUCCAAGUCUUUCUCUGAAACCAAAGACAUGGAUACUUUAAAUAAGAUCUGGUUUAAUCUGCUUUUUCUCUUUGAAAAUGAUGAAAUCUGUUUUUCAGAAUAAAAUAACAUUGCAUAUUUGCAUUGAUGUAGUGGAACAUUUAGACACUUUGAUGUAACUAACAACUCCAAUAUAUCACUGUCUCCUCUUUUAAGUCUCAAAGCUCCAACUAAAACAUAUCUCUGAUGUUGUCCUUCUCUCUCCAGGUUGGGGGAGGAUCAUCUUUGUGCCCGUGGGUUUAGCAGCUCUCAUAAUAAUUGUUGUGGCGGUCAACAUGUGGACGAGAGCUAAAGAGAAGAAAACACAGACGGAGGAAAUCGCUGUGUGUUAUGAUGUAGAUGAUGAGACAGUGAACUAUGAAAACAUCAGAUCUCCUGAUGGAGUUUGACCAACACUUCUGCCUCCAUCAGACUCCACUGAUCAACUCGUCACCUUCUACUGGAGUAGUUCAAGACUGGAAAUAACAAAAAGAAUCAUUAAGGCUUAUUUUAUUUUAGUCUGAUGUAUUUUCCUGCAUCAAUUGUAAAAA